UUACGAGAUUGUUAUGGGAUUGCUUCUAUUUACUUCAGUUGCUUUACUAGCAUGCGUUAAUCCGCCGUAAUCUAAAUUCCAAACCCGGAUGUUGUUUAAUCAACUAUUCAGCAGAGAUCUCCAAAUUAUAUCUAAUUUUUUGUAUUCUUGGUGGAUAUAUAGCUGAGAUAUCAUUCUUCUCAAAACAAAGGACUAAAUUUGCAAUCUUGGAAAAUUCUUCAAUACUGACAUUGUUUACUUACAUUGUAAAUAAUUAUGUAGUGCUGGUCGGAGCAUUUUUGGGGAGUUAAUAGUCAUAUUGGCUAAUUGCACCA